UACGUAGGGACCAAGCGUUGUUCGGAUUUACUGGGCGUAAAGGGCGCGUAGGCGGCGCGGUAAGUCAGUUGUGAAAUCUCUGAGCUUAACUCAGAACGGCCAAGUGAUACUGCAGUGCUAGAGUGUGGAAGGGGCAAUCGGAAUUCUUGGUGUAGCGGUGAAAUGCGUAGAUAUCAAGAGGAACACCUGAGGUGAAGACGGGUUGCUGGGCCAACACUGACGCUGAUGCGCGAAAGCCAGGGGAGCAAACGGG
rnacentral:rRNA from 1 species